UACGAAGGGGGCUAGCGUUGCUCGGAAUCACUGGGCGUAAAGCGCACGUAGGCGGAUUUCUAAGUCAGUGGUGAAAUCCUGGAGCUCAACUCCAGAACUGCCUUUGAUACUGGCGAUCUUGAGUCCGGGAGAGGUGAGUGGAACUGCGAGUGUAGAGGUGAAAUUCGUAGAUAUUCGCAAGAACACCAGUGGCGAAGGCGGCUCACUGGCCCGGUACUGACGCUGAGGUGCGAAAGCGUGGGGAGCAAACAGG
rnacentral:rRNA from 1 species